ensembl:lncRNA
AUGAAAGUAUUAAGAGGACAGGUAUCCCCAUUAAAAUACCAGGGGACACUAAUACAGAUUUUUCCAGACCUGUGUCCCGAAACCCUGGCAUGGAGAAAAUCUAUUAAGAGAGCCACAACUAUACUACAAAGUCAGAAGAUUCCAUACAGCUGGGGUUAUCCGGUACACCUGAGGUUUCGCUGGAGAAGCAACAACUACAAAAUUACAUCUUUAGAUCAAGGUCUAGCUUUACUUCAGGAGCUGAACUUGACAACUGAGGCAACAGAACCAGUACCGAUGGAGAAGGAAAAAGAAGAGGAAAGGGGGAAGAAAGAUGCAGCAACAGGAGGAGGAGAUUAAUAUGGACUAAUAUGGACCAAGACUGGACUAAUAUGGACUAAGACUGGAUUAAUAUGGAUUAAGACUGGACUAAUAUGGACUAAGACUGGACUAAUAUGGACUAAGACUGGACAUAUGGACUAAGACUGGACUAAUAUGGACUAAGACUGGAUAAGACUAAGACUGGAUUAAUAUGAACUAAGAUUGGAUUAAUAUGGACUAAAAUGGAUUAAUAUGGAUCAAUAGAGACUAAUAUGGACUAAGACUGGAUUAAUAUGGACUAAGAUUGGAUUAAUAUGGACUAAAAUGGAUUAAUAUGGAUCAAUAGGGACUAAUGUGGACUAUGACUGGAUUACAAUAGGACUGUUACUGGAUUAUUAUUGGACUAUGACUGGACUAAGACUGGAAAGAAGGAAGGAAGGAAGGAAAAAUACUGCGACAAGGACUGGUUAAUUCUAUGUUGGAGUAAAUUCUAGUAGUUAAGGUAUUAUAUAAAUAAUUACCCUCGGAGAUAUCGGAAUGAGCACACUCGGUGGGAGGAAGGGUCCCCUCCCCCCCCCCCACAAAGAGGUUUGGAAUAAACCAGGUUCGAGACAAGGGGUCUCUGAACGUAGUGGGGGGAAGAAAUAGGGGGAAUACACUCCACAAGGGAAAGGGGCGAAGGGAGGGAGAGGGGGGUAAAACAGGGGAGGACACACACAAGAGACCAGCCAAGUAGGAUGGAAAGUGGAUUUGUAAUCAAAUGGAGGAAUAUGUAAGGGUUGUAUCUCUGAAUUGUAAAGGUUUAGGCUCAGUUUACAAAAGGAAGAUCAUUGCGGACAUGAUAUAUAAAGCUAAAGCAAAUUUUGCUUUUUUACAAGAAACACACCAAGCAAAAUCAGGGGUAAAUGAGCUUAAGAUGCGUGGAUCUGUAACAUAUAUAAAAUCUUAUGGAACAUCUAAAUCGAAGGGUGUGGCAAUUAUAAUUCAAAAUCAAUGUGGUUUUAACAUUAAGGAAACAAAAGAUAGACGAACUAGGAAGAUACAUUAUUAUACAAGGGACAAUGGGUGGUGAAGAUUUUACUUUAGCCAAUGUAUAUGCCCCAAACACCAAUCAGGCAGAAUUUUACGAAACAAUAUUUAAAGAGAUAGAGGGAAUACAAAAAGGAUAUUUGAUUUUAGGAGGGGAUUUUAAUGGAAUAAUAGAUGAGGAAAUGGAUAAAUCUCAUUUUACAAUGAAAAGGAAAGGGAAAACACACAAAAAAAUACGAUUUUAAGUA